UUCCGAUGGUGAACCUGCGGAGGGAUCAUUACACAAAUAUGAAGGCGGGCUGGAACCUCUCGGGGUUACAGCCUUGCUGAAUUAUUCACCCUUGUCUUUUGCGUACUUCUUGUUUCCUUGGUGGGUUCGCCCACCACUAGGACAAACAUAAACCUUUUGUAAUUGCAAUCAGCGUCAGUAACAAAUUAAUAAUUACAACUUUCAACAACGGAUCUCUUGGUUCUGGCAUCGAUGAAGAACGCAGCGAAAUGCGAUAAGUAGUGUGAAUUGCAGAAUUCAGUGAAUCAUCGAAUCUUUGAACGCACAUUGCGCCCUUUGGUAUUCCAAAGGGCAUGCCUGUUCGAGCGUCAUUUGUACCCUCAAGCUUUGCUUGGUGUUGGGCGUCUUGUCUCUAGCUUUGCUGGAGACUCGCCUUAAAGUAAUUGGCAGCCGGCCUACUGGUUUCGGAGCGCAGCACAAGUCGCACUCUCUAUCAGCAAAGGUCUAGCAUCCAUUAAGCCUUUUUUUCAACUUUUGACCUCGGAUCAGGUAGGGAUACCCGCUGAACUUAAGCAUAUCAAUAAGCGGAGGA
rnacentral:rRNA from 1 species